rnacentral:lncRNA from 1 species
AUUUCCCCUUAUUGGACUCUAUUUCCUCCCUGCUUCCACUUAUAGGAUUCUAUUUCCUCCCUAUUUCCCCUGAUAGGAUUCUAUUUCCUCCCUAUUUCCUCUCAUAGGACUCUAUUUCCUCCCUAUUUCCUUAUAUAGGACUCUGUUUCCUCCCUACUUCCUUUCAUUGGACUCUAUUUCCUCCCUGCUUCCACUUAUUGGACUCUAUUUCCUCCCUAUUUCCCCUUAUAGGAUUCUGUUUCCUCCCUAUUUCCCCUCAUAGGAUUCUAUUUCCUCUCUAUUUCCCCUUGUUGGGUUCUAUUUCCUGUCUAUUCCCAUUUUUUGGCCUAUUUCCACAUUCUACUCCCCCUUCCUCUUCCAUUUCCUCUUCUAUUCCCAUUGUAUUCCCACUUCCUCUUCCGUUUCCCCCCUCCACCCCCA